rnacentral:rRNA from 1 species
UACGUAGGGGGCGGAGCGUUGUCCGGAUUUAUUGGGCGUUAAAAGGCUUGUAGGUGGCCACGUCAAGUCGGAUGUGAAAUCUCCCGGCUCAACUGGGGAGGGGUCAUUCGAUACUGGCGGGCUCGAGGCCGGUAGGGGGAAGCGGAAUUCCCGGUGUAGUGGUGGAAUGCGUAGAUAUCGGGAGGAACACCAGUGGCGAAGGCGGCUUCCUGGACCGGUUCUGACACUGGAGGAGCGAAAGCGUGGGGAGCGAUCCGGAU